rnacentral:tRNA from 1 species
GAGACCUUAAUUUAACAGGCAAAAUGUGUGACUUUUAAUCAUUAUGAUAUGAGUUCGAAUCUCAUAGGUCUUA